rnacentral:rRNA from 1 species
AGGGCACCACCAGGAGUGGAGCCUGCGGCUUAAUUUGACUCAACACGGGAAAACUCACCCGGCCCGGACACUGUAAGGAUUGACAGACUGAGAGCUCUUUCUUAAUUCGGUGGGUGGUGGUGCAUGGCCGUUCUUAGUUGGUGGAGCGAUUUGUCUGGUUAAUUCCGAUAACGAACGAGACUCUGGCCUAUUAAAUAGACGAGGUAUUUAAAAGUAUCUCGCGCUUCUUAGAGGGACAAGCGGCGUCUAGUCGCAUGAAAAAGAGCAAUAACAGGUCUGUGAUGCCCUUAGAUGUCCGGGGCUGCACGCGCGCUACACUGAAAGAAUCAGCGUGCAUUUUAACCUAGUCCGGAAGGACCGGGUAACCCAAGUAAAUUCUUUCGUGCUUGGGAUAGGGAAUUGCAAUUAUUUCCCUUAAACGAGGAAUUCCCAGUAAAUUCGGGUCAUAAGCUCGAGUUGAUUACGUCCCUGCCCUUUGUACACACCGCCCGUCGCUACUACCGAUUGAAUGUCUUAGUG